rnacentral:rRNA from 1 species
UACGAGGGGGGCAAGCGUUGUUCGGAAUUAUUGGGCGUAAAGGGUGCGUAGGCGGUUUGGUAAGUCUUAUGUGAAAUCUACAGGCUCAACUUGUAGUCUGCAUGAGAAACUGCCGGGCUUGAGUAUGGGAGAGGUGAGUGGAAUUCCUGGUGUAGCGGUGAAAUGCGUAGAUAUCAGGAGGAACACCUGUGGCGAAAGCGGCUCACUGGACCAUAACUGAGGCUGAUGCACGAAAGCUAGGGGAGCAAACAGG